rnacentral:lncRNA from 1 species
GGAAGCCACGCCACAGCUUGAGGGAGUCGGAGGGCUCAGCGCUACACCGCGCCGCGCUGCAUUAUGGAACACAGAGUUUAAUAGAAAGCUCGGCAGGGAACGCAUUCCAGACCAAGAUUGCGUUUACCUUGUCUCGGGGGCGGGGCAAGGAAGAGCCGAUCAAGAUUUCGUCAUAAAACCGCGACCCGACAGGCGGCGCCAUCUUCGAACUUGGACUUCCGGAAGGACUUUGGCGCGGGGCAGCCAUUUUGGGGGGUGCUGAUGGAUACCUGCGGGGUCGGCUAUGUUG